rnacentral:tRNA from 1 species
GCGGCGUUGGUGUAGUGGUAGCACCGGACCCUUCCAAGGUUCAGGCGCCGGUUCGAGCCCGGCACGCCGCU